rnacentral:rRNA from 1 species
UACGUAGGGUGCAAGCGUUGUCCGGAAUUAUUGGGCGUAAAGAGCUCGUAGGCGGUUUGUCGCGUCUGCUGUGAAAACUCGGGGCUUAACCCCGGGCCUGCAGUGGGUACGGGCAGACUAGAGUGCGGUAGGGGAGACUGGAAUUCCUGGUGUAGCGGUGAAAUGCGCAGAUAUCAGGAGGAACACCAAUGGCGAAGGCAGCACUCUGGGACGUGACUGACGCUGAGACGCGAAAGCGUGGGGAGCAAACAGG